UACGUAGGGUGCAAGCGUUGUCCGGAAUUAUUGGGCGUAAAGAGCUCGUAGGCGGUCUGUCGCGUCGGCUGUGAAAACCCGAGGCUCAACCUCGGGCCUGCAGUCGAUACGGGCAAACUAGAGUACUGCAGGGGAGACUGGAAUUCCUGGUGUAGCGGUGAAAUGCGCAGAUAUCGGGAAGAACACCUAUGGCGAAGGCAGCUCUCUGGGACGGUACUGACGCUGAGACGCGAAAGCGUGGGGAGCGAACAGG
rnacentral:rRNA from 1 species